AGCGAACGCUGGCGGCAGGCUUAACACAUGCAAGUCGAACGGGCACUUCGGUGUCAGUGGCAGACGGGUGAGUAACACGUGGGAACGUACCUCUUGGUUCGGAACAACACAGGGAAACUUGUGCUAAUACCGGAUAAGCCCUUACGGGGAAAGAUUUAUCGCCGAGAGAUCGGCCCGCGUCUGAUUAGCUAGUUGGUAGGGUAAUGGCCUACCAAGGCGACGAUCAGUAGCUGGUCUGAGAGGAUGAUCAGCCACAUUGGGACUGAGACACGGCCCAAACUCCUACGGGAGGCAGCAGUGGGGAAUAUUGGACAAUGGGGGCAACCCUGAUCCAGCCAUGCCGCGUGAGUGAUGAAGGCCCUAGGGUUGUAAAGCUCUUUUGUGCGGGAAGAUAAUGACGGUACCGCAAGAAUAAGCCCCGGCUAACUUCGUGCCAGCCGCCGCCGUAAAAC
rnacentral:rRNA from 1 species